rnacentral:rRNA from 1 species
GGGGAAUUUUCCGCAAUGGGCGAAAGCCUGACGGAGCAAUACCGCGUGAGGGAUGACGGCCUGUGGGUUGUAAACCUCUUUUCUCAAGGAAGAAACUCUGACGGUACUUGAGGAAUAAGCAUCGGCUAACUCUGUGCCAGCAGCCGCGGUAAUACAGAGGAUGCAAGCGUUAUCCGGAAUCACUGGGCAUAAAGCGUCUGUAGGUUGCUUGCCAAGUCUGCUGUUAAAGACUAGGGCCUAACCCUGGGAAAGCAGUGGAAACUAGUAAGCUUGAGUGUGGUAGAGGUAGAGGGAAUUCCUGGUGUAGCGGUGAAAUGCGUAGAUAUUAGGAAGAACACCAAUGGCGAAAGCACUCUGCUGGGCCAUAACUGACACUGAGAGACGACAGCUAGGGGAGCAAAUGGGAUUAGAUACCCCUGUAGUC